rnacentral:rRNA from 1 species
CCUACGGGAGGCAGCAGUGGGGAAUAUUGGGCAAUGGGCGCAAGCCUGACCCAGCAACGCAGCGUGAAGGAAGAAGGCUUGCGGGUUGUAAACUUCUUUUGUCAGGGAAGAGUAGAAGACGGUACCUGACGAAUAAGCCACGGCUAACUACGUGCCAGAAGCCGCGGUAAUACGUAGGUGGCAAGCGUUGUCCGGAUUUACUGGGUGUAAAGGGCGUGUAGCCGGGUUGACAAGUCAGAUGUGAAAUCCUGCGGCUUAACCGCAGAACUGCAUUUGAAACUGUUGAUCUUGAGUACUGGAGAGGCAGACGGAAUUCCUAGUGUAGCGGUGAAAUGCGUAGAUAUUAGGAGGAACAACAGUGGCGAAGGCGGUCUGCUGGACAGCAACUGACGGUGAGGCGCGAAAGCGUGGGGAGCAAACAGGAUUAGAUACCCCAGUAGUC